CGCCGCACUUACCCGGGCCGCGGGAGGUGGCCGGCCGCCGGCGGGUCCUGCAGCGCCGCAAUCCGCCGCCCGUGGGGCUGCCAAAUCAGUAAGAAAGGAGGGAUGGACAAAAGAAGCUUGCCUUGCUUGGAGAUACAGUCAGAAACCAACCUUCAAUGCACUUUCAGAUAGAGUGAGAUUCCAAACCCACACCCUAAGGAACAGAAAGGACACACAUCAAGGAUGAAGACUAUAAAGAUCAUUUCACAUAGGCCACUAGCAUCUGUCACAUGGUAGUAACUUCUGUUCUUUACUCAUUUGGGCUGGAUUCUUGUGUGGGGUGGCCUGCCCAGGUCCUGAUCCUGCCACACAUGGCUGGGAAGUUUGGCAGCAGGGUAGCAUUGGCAGUGUUAAUUG